GUUUCUCCUUGUGAUUGUUGACAAACAAGACUCAUAAUAAUCGGGGCUCUAACAAACCAUCAAAAAUCAGUAGAUGUUUUCUCUACCUUAGCAGCUACUUAUAGGUCAUUUUCCAUAAUCUACAAUUAUGGAAAAUGAUUGUGUAGAUUAAGAUUACACAAUAAAACUUUGCUUUAUCUGAAGUGUUUACAGCUUUGGUGUUUGGUUUUUAAUUUUUUCACCUGAGUAAAUUCAGUCCAACAUCACAUCCUUGAGCUUUCUUUGCUGGUGUUUCCGGCUUUGAAAAUUGUUUUGUUUUUCAACUUUUCUGUUAGUAAAUUUUGAUCAUGUGCAAGAUAUCAGUGCUGUAUGUUGGGGGCUGAAAACAAUAAAACAAUAGAUGCACAUAUUACUAAUAUGGCAAUAGAUAUAUUAAUACUUGACUACUAUAAUUUUUCUCCACAGUUUAGAACAUGGUGGAAGUCACCGGAACAAACCAGGGUUCAAGAAAUAUGCCUGUGCGCUCACUUUGGACUCCAACACAGCUCACAAGAACCUGCUGCUCUCUGAAG